GUGUGGGAGUUCGUGUAAGUAGCGGUAGUUUGGAAGAUAUUUUUUCAGAAGAUAGCGACUCUAAUGCCUUAAGCUUAGUACAUGACAGCGAUGGGGAUAAUCCAGAAUCUUCAGGAGAGUCUGGGCCACGUUCUUAACAAUAUGAGCCGCGUAGAGUUCACCGAAGCGAUCCGCACGAAGACAGUACAGAACAUGUCGACAGCGAUGCGACCGUCUCGGAAACUCAGACUGAAAUCGGGCAAUUGUGGCAAAAAGUAGAGUAGCAAGGGCCUGAAACCCAGAUAAGUUGUAUCACUGAGCAUCCAGGUUUUCAGUCAAUUUGCCUUGAUUUCUGGGUGCUGGAGACGGCCAAUUGCGCGUACAGGCAGCAGCAAGGCACAGAUAAUCACACCGGAAACGAGAAAUUUCGCUAAAUUGCCUACAGAUAGCUUAUUCGUUGGUGUUGGGAAUAUCUCGGCAAACACUUCAGGGUCGCUGUGCCAUCUUGUGCGUUAAACAAUAUUCGAAACAUUUUUCCAGCGGAUUUUGGAUCGCCUUACACUGGAUUAAAACCGCCAAACCUUUGAGAGAAAUAAAGGGUUUCUCAAAGGAAGCACCAAGUGGGGCUGGCAUGGAUUUUCUUAUAGAACAUAGGGGUUGAUAAUGGGAUCCUGUAUAGAAUUCUUUGCAUCGAACCAACAAAAUUCCAGAUCACGUUAUUACAC